rnacentral:rRNA from 1 species
GACGAACGCUGGCGGCGUGCUUAACACAUGCAAGUCGAGCGGUAAGGCCCUUUCGGGGGUACGACGAGCGGCGAACGGGUGAGUAACACGUGGGUGACCUGCCCUCCAGCUCUGGGAUAAGCCUGGGAAACCGGGUCUAAUACUGGAUAUGACUCCAUGACGCAUGUUGUGGGGUGGAAAGCCUUGUGCGGCUGAGGAUGGGCCCGCGGCCUAUCAGCUUGUUGGUGGGGUGAGGCCUACCAAGGCGACGACGGGUAGCCGGCCUGAGAGGGCGACCGGCCACACUGGGACUGAGACACGACCCAGACUCCUACGGGAGGCAGCAGUGGGGAAUAUUGCGCAAUGGGCGGAAGCCUGACGCAGCGACGCCGCAUGGGGGAUGACGGCC